rnacentral:rRNA from 1 species
GACGUAGGGCGCGAGCGUUGUCCGGAAUUAUUGGGCGUAAAGCGCACGUAGGCGGCUUGGCAAGUCGGAUGUGAAAUCCCUCGGCUCAACCAAGGAAGUGCAUCCGAAACUGCCGAGCUUGAGUACUUAAGAGGAUCGCGGAAUUCCCGGUGUAGAGGUGAAAUUCGUAGAUAUCGGGAGGAACACCAGUGGCGAAGGCGGCGAUCUGGGAAGAUACUGACGCUGAGGUGCGAAAGCGUGGGGAGCAAACAGG